GACAUGACUCUCAACAAUGGAUAUCUCAGUUCUCGCAUCGAUAAAGAGCACAGC
rnacentral:rRNA from 1 species